CUUCCCAGCUGUAUCUUGAGCCUGUUUACUGCGCGCCCAGGGCCCCACUCUCGUGCAGCCACCGUCACUUGUCAGCUGGGCCAUGGCGUGGGCCUCUUCACCAGUCUCCCCGCUCCUAGUCUGGCUCCCACAAGACAGUCUGCACACACCCACUGAGGAGUCCACAGUGCGAGCAGCGGCAGGUCAAGAGCCCCACAGGUGUGAAGAGUGGCAAUGAGGUCAUAAACUGUCAUGUGAGAGGUGCCCUCCCCAUAACUGGAGAAAAGGAGCAUCCGUAUCUCCAAAGACUGAGUCGCCAAGAAGAAUCCUAACUAACAGGCCUUGUGAAGCUGCCCCAGUUGCUACAAUUACUUCCUCCCCCAACCCAUCGCAUUCCUCCCUGACGGGCCACUCUUCAUCGAAGCUGGCGCGAAAAUACACAGGCAUGUUCCAGCCUCCCUUGGAUGUAGCCCACCUUCCCAGGCCACGCCAACCUGGGAUAAAAGUUCUCUUAGAUUAUCCUGGAUAACUGCUAUACCCAGCAAGACUUAGAAAACACAGACAGUAGCUCGGGGACAGCGUCAUCUGGAGCCAAAGAAAUCAGGACACAAUUUCGAUGAAAGAGCAGCAAACCCAUCCCUCUGGAGGCGCUCACCCACCUUGUGGUGUCGUUCCUGGCCCUGCACCUCCUUCUCGAUGAUGGGAAUGUCCACGACUCCCGCUGAGGGCACCGGGACGCGCAUCGUGAUGGCCCUGAGGGGACACACACAGACCCUUGCUUAAGCCGCAAAGGAGUUCCUGCUCUAUGAACGGAUGAAUAGAUGGAAGGGUGCCUACACCACCUCGACUGCUAUCGAUGGGCUUCAUACCAGUACUUCUUUGUCACCUGACGGGUUCUAAA